UCCCCGCCGCCCCACUCCUCUUACCCCACUGCCCUGCCUCACCCCUGGGCAGCAGGCCACACCCCGGGGCUUGGUAUCCUGCUCUGGUUCCUGCUGGGCAGCCCCGGGCUCUCCCGGGAGCCUCCUCUGCGGCUUGUCCCGUGUCCUCCCCACUGUCUGUUUUCUCCGUCACUUUGGUUUCUGCUUCACCUGGUGCUUUGCUGAGGAAGGAGCACAGGAAGUAAAACUGUAAGAUGCCAGACAGCUGAAAAAACCUCUUUACCCUUGCGGGGGGCAGCUAGGCCCGUAUUCCCAGCGCUCUGGGAGGCUGAGGCCGGAGGAUGGCAGGUGCCAGCCCAACCUGAGACCUAGGUGACUUGGCCAGGCCCUGUCUCAAAGUGAAAAUCUAGCAAGGGCUGGAGAUGCAGCUCCGUGUAAAGACCCGGGUUCAGUGCCCAGCAGUGAGGGAAAGACCUUGGCUGCCGGCACUUCCAUUUGACUGGAGGUAGGAUUGUGUGUCACAGAUACUUGUUCCGUGGAGUUUGGAAACCACUGCUGGCUGCCCCUCAGUGCUCAGGGCUCUGGGGCUGCUGCUGCUGCUGCUUCCUCUGGAAGCUCUGGGAUUCCUUCUGCUGUCACAGCCUACGAUCCAUCCUGCCCCCAGCAGGUGGCCCUGGAGGUUAGAGGUCAGAUCUCCACCCAGACGCAUAUGAAACACCAUGGAAAAGCUGUCACACUUCCUCAGGGACUCCGAGUGACUUAAAGCUGUAGCCCCCAAGAUGAAAAUGCCUGUUCUGUUGAGGGCCUUCAGAUGGACCCUCUGCAGAGUAUCACUGACUGCCCAUCAACAACCAGGACCCCUUCAGCCUGAAACAGCCCGAUCGGUCAUCGCCCAUUACUGCUUCACAGCAGCUCAGGGUACUUUUCAGAGGGGAGUGGCAUAGGCAGCUGGGUUAUACAAGAAUAGCAGAGCAGUCAGACAGGCCAGCGCCCUCAGAGGAGCCAGGGCAAAAGACCAGAUGCCUUGCAACUGUGGGGAAAAACAAACACCUCCCUCUGUCAGCCAGAUCUCAAGACAAAAGACAAAACACAUGCAGCCCUGCCCUAAUGAUAAAUAUCAGGGGCCGAUAUUCUAAAUAGGUGUCCAUCUCCUGCUCUCCUUUCACCCUUUUGAUUCGAUUUACUGUUCUGUUUUACUCGCUUUAAAAUUUAAAAGAACACCAUGAAAAUGAUAGACUUGCAGGAAACAGAGGCGUGGUGAGCAGCACAGGAAAGCCCUCUCUGAGAUUUGCUGUCCAGGUGUGGAAUACAGCAACACGAGGAAGACACGAGGGGAAGUGGGCGCCUGCACCCAGGAGGACCCGAGGUAGGAACGGAUCCCAAGGGGCAGUGAGGAGAGGACUGCAGCAAAGAGGAAGGCGGGGGCAGGCCGUGUGUUUCCUGACUCGGGACUCACUUCCUGGGGAGCAGCUCAGACCUGCAGACACACAGCCACAGCUGGCCACCCCAGAGGCUUCCAGAGAGAUGCAGCAGUAGAGGGGGCAGUAGACAUGAAGGACUGCGCCAGCGGGGGGUAGGUGCUGAGGGCUCAGUUGUCCUGAGGGAGACAGCAAUAUCCUGGGGCCACCUAGGAGGGGCCGGCUGAGCUCGGAACUCAGGACAGCUGCUGGGUCCAUCUAGUGGCUCCCUGCGAGUUCAAAUCCACAGAAGGUGAGCUGGCUGGGAAAACUUCAGGGGAAACUGAGGCACAGGCUCACUGAGGUUACCCACUGCCCACCAUACAGCUACUGCUCGCUUGCUGGGGUAAAUCAACACGGAUCUGCCACUGUUUCCACAUGUUGUUUACCAGUGACACCAGGGGCAAACCUGCAAGUGGACUGUUUUCUCUCUUGUUUUUUGUGGAGGGGUAGGGAGAGUAGUUUUUCUUUUUUUCAUUUUAUUGCGUAUUUGCUAUAUUGAAAAACUACAGUAGUCUGAAAAAGGAGAUAUCACAAAAAAUCAACAACUGGAAUCUCAUUUUAUUAAAAAUCUUUUGCACUGCAAAGGAAACCACAAACAGAGUGAAGAGACAACACACAGUGUGGGGAACAUUUUUUGCCCACAGUUCGUUCCUCAGACAAACAACUAACAUCUGAAAUAGAUAGAUUCUGUAUCUGUACGUUGUAUAGUGCUCGAACUCGUGACAUCACAGCUGCCAGGCAGACACUUAUGCCACUGAGCUGAAUCCCUGGCUCUAACAUCUAAAAUAUAUGAAGAACUCAAAAAAAAUGAGACCAUCCCCCUACAAUUAAAGAUACAAUCCAUAAAUGGGCAUCUGACAUAAUAAGCACUUCUCAGAUAACAAAGUAGAAAUGGGAAAUAAAUAUACAAAAUAUGUUCAAUAUUACUGGUCAUCUGAGAUUCAAACUAAAACAACACUGAGAUUCCAUUUCACUCCAGAAAGAAUGCCCAUCAUCAAGAAAAUAACCAACAUCAAAUGCUAGAGAGGAUGCAGGGAAAAAAGAAACUCCUACAUUGCUGGGAUUGCAGACUGUUGUAACCACUGUGGAAAUCAGCAUGGAUAGUCCUCAGAAGAACUAGGACCAUAAAAAAGCAAUAUAUGCUCACUCAUGUUUAUAACUGAAUAAUUUAAAAUAACUAAAUCUUGAAAACAGCCCAAAAGUCCAUCAUCACAACCACAAAGUUGUGGGGUUUCUUUUUAAAUACAACAGAGUACUACUCUACCCCGAAGAAGGUUAAGCUUGAGGCAUUUCUAGGUAAAUGGAAGCACUUUGAGACCUCGGUUCUUUGCUAUAUUGUGGUUCACGCGUUGCAGCGUCACUGAGUUCUGCCUGUAUCAUGGGAUUUUGCAGUUCACAGAUAUUUAUAUAAUAUUUAUGGUUUUAAUUAUCUUUCCUAAAAAUAUUUAAAACAACAUAAAAAUAUUAACAUGUGUAUAUAAGAGUGUGGGAAAGGGUUAUAGAAGUCUGAGAAGGGUUUAUAAAGCCAUGAAACAUACAUGAUGACAGGUGAGGGGUCACUGAUGCACUUAAAUGAAAUAAAUUGGACACAUGUUGUUUAAAUAUCAUUUGUUUUUCUGUGUGAGAAACCCAAAGUAUAAAUAAGUACCUAAAUGUAUG